rnacentral:rRNA from 1 species
GAUACGCUACGGCGAGCUAAUACUGCAGUUGAACGGUACAUUGGUGCUUGCACCAGAUGACGAGUGGCGCACGGGUGCGUAACGCGUAUGCAACCUACCUUUUACUAGAGUAUAGCCCAGAGAAAUUUGGAUUAAUCCUCUAUAAUAUCUUUUAAUCUCCUGAUUUUAAGAUUAAAGUUUAUAACGGUAAAAGAUGGGCAUGCGUCCUAUUAGUUUGUAGAGUGAGGUAACGGCUCACCUAGACUACGAUAGGCAGGGGCCCUGAGAGGGGGAUCCCCCACACUGGUACUGAGACACGGACCAGACUCCUACUGGAGGCAGCAGUAAGGAAUAUUGGACAAUGGACGAAAGUCUGAUCCAGCCAUGCCGCGUGCAGAGAUGACAGCCCUACGGGUUGUAAACUGCUUUAAUACAGGAAGAAACACUCCGACGUGUCGGAGCUUGACGGUACUGUAAGAAUAAGGAUCGGCUAACAUCCGUUGCCAGACAGCCGCCGUGUCAAUACGGAGGAUCCAAAGCGUUUAUUCCCGAGAAAUUCAAUUU